ACCCGCCCAAGGAGUGGUUGCGUUAAAAUAAUGUAUGGAUGCACUGCUGUGUGUACUGUAGAGUCUGGCGGAUGUCGACAGGCUCUAUUUUUUUAC
rfam:Escherichia vulneris NBRC 102420 DNA, contig: EV10242021.